rnacentral:rRNA from 1 species
UACGGAGGGUGCAAGCGUUAUCCGGAUUCACUGGGUUUAAAGGGAGCGUAGGCGGAUUGGUAAGUCAGUGGGGAAAGCCCCGAGCUCAACUUGGGAAUUGUCAUUGAUACUGCUGAUCUUGAGUACGGUUGAAGUGGGCGGAAUGUGACAUGUAGCGGUGAAAUGCUUAGAUAUGUCACAGAACACCGAUUGCGUAGGCAGCUCACUAAGCCGUAACUGACGCUGAGGCUCGAAAGCGUGGGGAUCAAACAGG